GAUGAACGCUAGCUACAGGCUUUAACACAUGCAAGUCGAGGGGCAGCAUGGUCUUAGCUUGCUAAGGCCGAUGGCGACCGGCGCACGGGUGAGUAACACGUAUCCAACCUGCCGUCUACUCUUGGACAGCCUUCUGAAAGGAAGAUUAAUACAAGAUGGCAUCAUGAGUCCGCAUGUUCACAUGAUUAAAGGUAUUCCGGUAGACGAUGGGGAUGCGUUCCAUUAGAUAGUAGGCGGGGUAACGGCCCACCUAGUCUUCGAUGGAUAGGGGUUCUGAGAGGAGGGUCCCCCACAUUGGAACUGAGACACGGUCCAAACUCCUACGGGAGGCAGCAGUGAGGAAUAUUGGUCAAUGGCCGAGAGGCUGAACCAGCCAAGUCGCGUGAGGGAUGAAAGGUUCUAUGGAUCGUAAACCUCUUUUAUAAGGGAAUAAAGUGCGGGACGUGUCCCGUUUUGUAUGUACCUUAUGAAAUAAGGAUCGGCUAACUCCGUGCCAGCA
rnacentral:rRNA from 1 species